rnacentral:tmRNA from 1 species
GGGGAUGCAAGGCAUAGACAGUAGGCCAUUUGUUAUUGAUGCAUACCGAGUGUGGACGCUAAUCUCGUAAAACUUCGUCCAAUAGCUUAAUUGCAAAAUUAGCUUCCAAAGUGAAAGCGGCAGUCUCUCCAUACUUCGGUAUGAAUGACUUUGCUUUCGCUUCAGUUUCCGCUUCGGCGUAACUGAUGUCUCUCUUAUAGACUUCCGAUAUAUAAGACGGGGCACAAUAUUAUCGGGAUAAGGAAAUAUCCGUUCGAAUAUUUCACGAAAAUCUAGAACUCGAUUAAAAAAUAUUUGGCUCGUUUCUUAAUUUUUUAAUUUAAACCAAAAAGCGCGCUACGUAUGUAGACUUCUUUACAAAAACCUUCUGCACGGGGAUUCAAUUUCCCCCAUCUCCACAA